AGUUUAGCUAAUGUUGCCCGUACCGUAAACCGACACAGGUGGGUGGGAUGAGUAUUCUAAGGCGCGUGGAAGAACUCUCUUUAAGGAACUCUGCAAAAUAGCACCGUAUCUUCGGUAUAAGGUGUGGUUCGCUUCGUAUUAGGAUUUACUCCGAAAGCGAAGAAACUUACAACAAAGAGUCCCUCCCGACUGUUUACCAAAAACACAGCACUCUGCUAACUCGUAAGAGGAUGUAUAGGGUGUGACGCCUGCCCGGUGCUCGAAGGUUAAUUGAUGGGGUUAGCAUUAGCGAAGCUCUUGAUCGAAGCCCGAGUAAACGGCGGCCGUAACUAUAACGGUCCUAAGGUAGCGAAAUUCCUUGUCGGUUAAAUACCGACCUGCAUGAAUGGCGUAACGAGAUGGGAGCUGUCUCAAAGAGGGAUCCAGUGAAAUUGUAGUGGAGGUGAAAAUUCCUCCUACCCGCGGCAAGACGGAAAGACCCCGUGGACCUUUACUACAGCUUGACACUGCUAUUUGGAUAAGAAUGUGCAGGAUAGGUGGGAGGCUUUGAGUAUAUGACGCCAGUUGUAUAUGAGCCAUUGUUGAGAUACCACUCUUUCUUAUUUGGGUAGCUAACCAGCUUGAGUUAUCCUCAAGUGGGACAAUGUCUGGUGGGUAGUUUGACUGGGGCGGUCGCCUCCCAAAUAAUAACGGAGGCUUACAAAGGUUGGCUCAGAACGGUUGGAAAUCGUUCGUAGAGUAUAAAGGUAUAAGCCAGCUUAACUGCAAGACAUACAAGUCAAGCAGAGACGAAAGUCGGUCUUAGUGAUCCGGUGGUUCUGUGUGGAAGGGCCAUCGCUCAAAGGAUAAAAGGUACCCCGGGGAUAACAGGCUGAUCUCCCCCAAGAGCUCACAUCGACGGGGAGGUUUGGCACCUCGAUGUCGGCUCAUCGCAUCCUGGGGCUGGAGCAUGUCCCAAGGGUAUGGCUGUUCGCCAUUUAAAGCGGUACGCGAGCUGGGUUCAGAACGUCGUGAGACAGUUCGGUCCCUAUCUGCCGUGGGCGUAAGAAGAUUGAAGAGAUUUGACCCUAGUACGAGAGGACCGGGUUGAACAAACCACUGGUGUAGCUGUUGUUCUGCCAAGAGCAUCGCAGCGUAGCUAAGUUUGGAAAGGAUAAACGCUGAAAGCAUCUAAGCGUGAAGCCAACUCUAAGAUGAAUCUUCUCUAAGCUCUCUAGAAGACUACUAGUUUGAUAGGCUGGGUGUGUAAUGGAUGAAAGUCCUUUAGCUGACCAGUACUAAUAGAGCGUUUGGCUUAUCUUUAAUAAAGCAU
rnacentral:rRNA from 1 species